UAUUCAUACUUGAAUAGUUUAUAGGAAGCUUCUAACUUUCUGAUAGCUGAAAGCUACUAAUAA
rnacentral:tRNA from 1 species